CCGGAACUUCGAUAAAUCAUAACUUCCUCAUACGAAGUCAGAUUUGGGCGUUCUAUAUAUAUUCGGAAACCUCGUUUCAACUACUACAACAUUAACCAAAGAUAUUAAGUUUAUUUUACACUUAAAUUUUGACGCUUAUUUUUAUUCUUAAUUAAUCAAACCACAUAAUUAAGCAAUUAAGCACAAAACACAUAAUACUCAAAUAAUACAAUCUUAUUAUUUCAAAACGGGUUACAAAGGUUAACCUAGACUAUUAUAUUGCUAAAAAUGGCAAGCCCGGAAACACAGGCGUUACAAUUCUCUCCACCUUAGAAUGAUUCCGUCCCCGGAAUCACACAUCAACAAACAAAUGCGGAUAGCGACUCAACAUGUCACUCUCCGUCUCCCAGGUGAGAUUCGGCCCAUUCGUGUGUUUCCAUCGGACAAGCACUAACCCAACCAUUUUGCGUCGCAACUUCUUAGUCUUUCGGUCAACAAUUGCCUCUGGUUCUUCAAUCAACCUUUUGUUCUCAUCAAUUCUCAAUUCAGAAAUUGGAAUUAUAUCGGGAACUUCUCCCGUGAACUUCCUCAAAUAACACACAUGAAAGGUGUUGUGAAUUCCAUUCAGUUCUUCGGGUAAUUCGAGCUUGUAAGCUUGGUUCCCAAUCCUCUGAAGGACUUUAAACGGUCCAAUAAACCUUGGACUCAACUUUCCCCUUUUACCAAAUCUUAUAAGUCCCUUCCACGGCGAGACUUUAAGCAAAACCGAAUCUCCAACCUCAAAAGUCAUCGGUCUUCGCUUCUUGUCAGCAUAGCUCUUUUGACGAUCUUGAGCUGCUAACAUUCUUUCCCUAAUUAUUUUCAACUUUUCAGCAGUUUGAUGAACCAUCUCCGGUCCCAUAAACUGCUUUUCCCCAGCCUCAAGCCAACAAGACGGCGUACGACACUUCUGUCCAUACAAAGCUUGAUAAGGUGCCAUCUUAAUGCUCGAGUGAAAACUAUUAUUAUAGGAAAAUUCUACCAACGGUAAAUGUUCAUCCCAAUUACCUAGGAAUUCCAAGGUACAUGCUCUCAGCAUAUCUUCAAGUGUUUGUAUUGUUCUUUCACUCUGACCAUCAGUCUGCGGAUGGUAAGCUGUGCUUAAACAUAACUUGGUACCCAUUUCCUCUUGUAGACUUUUCCAAAACCUUGAGGUGAAACGGCUAUCACGAUCCGAUACAAUCGUUAACGGAACACCGUGAAGCCUCACAAUUUCCUUCACGUAAGAAUUCGCAAGCUUUUCCAUAGACCAUUUCUCCCUGGCCGCUAUGAAAUGCGCACUCUUAGUGAAUCGAUCAACGACCACCCAAAUCAUGUCGUGACCAUUCUUUGUUCUGGGCAGUUUAGUGACAAAAUCCAUAGCAAUGUCUUCCCACUUACCCAUAGGCACAGGCAAAGGUUCUAAACUCCCGUACGGUUUCUGAUGUUGUGUCUUGACUCUCGCACAAGUCACACACUCGGCCACAUACUUUGCAACAUCAAGCUUCAUCGUCGGCCACCAGUAGUAGGGUUUCAGGUCCCUAUACAUUUUAGUGCUACCCGGAUGAAUCGAGUACAUGGUCUUGUGAGCUUCUUCCAUCAGAAGAUCUCUAAUUCCUCCUGACUUAGGUACCCAAAUACGAUCUUGGAAUACCUUCAGUCCAUGACCGUUAGUACCAAACACCAACGUUUUACCCAAACGUUCCUCCUUUCGGUCAUUUUUCUCAGAAGCUUCCUCUUGAGCUUUCUUUAUACUUUCCACAAUGGUCGAGACAACUUCAAUUCUCAACGCUCUUGGCCUCUUCCUUUCAAGAUUGACCUUCCGACUGAGAGCAUCAGCAACAACAUUAGCUUUACCGGGGUGGUAAAGUAUCUCGCAGUCGUAGUCUUUAAGUAAUUCUAGCCAGCGUCGUUGCCUCAUAUUCAAUUCUUUCUGAUUAAAGAGGUAUUGGAGACUCUUAUGAUCAGUGAAAAGUUUGCACUUCGUGCCAUAGAGGUAAUGCCUCCAUAUUUUCAGAGCGAAAACUACCGCUGCCAACUCCAAAUCAUGAGUCGGGUAAUUCUUUUCAUGCUCUUUCAGCUGUCGAGACGCAUAUGCUAUCACCUUUUCUCUUUGGGUCAAAACACAACCCAAUCCAACACCAGACGCAUCGCUAUAAACAGCGAAGUCUUCAACUCCAUCGGGUAGAGAAAGUAUCGGUGCCUCGCAUAGCUUCUUCUUUAACUUCUCGAAUGCUUCUUUAUGCUUCUCACUCCAAGCAUAAGUAGCUCCUUUGUGGGUCAAAGCUGUUAAUGGAGUAGCAAUCGAAGAAAAGCCUUGGAUAAACCUUCGGUAAUAUCCGGCUAAUCCUAAAAAGCUUCGAAUCUCCGUGGGACUUUUCGGUUGUUCCCACUUCGUCACAGCUUCGAUCUUCGCUGGAUCAACCAUUAUCCCUUCUUGGUUGACCACGUGACCCAAGAAUUGGACUUCACGAAUCCAAAAAUCACAUUUGGAGAACUUUGCAUACAGCUUCUCCUUCUUCAAGACUUCUAACACUUCUCGCAAGUGUCUGCCAUGCUCCUCCUGGCUUUUCGAGUAAAUCAGAAUGUCGUCUAUGAACACUAUCACGGAUUUAUCAAGGAACGGGUUACAAACCCUAUUCAUCAAAUCCAUGAACGCUGCUGGAGCAUUGGUUAGUCCAAACGACAUAACCAAGAACUCGUAGUGUCCAUAUCUAGUUCUGAAUGCAGUCUUCUCGAUAUCUUGCUCUCUUACUUUCAGCUGAUGAUAUCCUGACCUAAGAUCGAUCUUCGAGAAAUAGCUCGAACCUUGCAAUUGAUCAAACAGGUCAUCAAUCCUCGGCAACGGAUAUCUAUUCUUUAUUGUUGCCUUGUUCAGCUCUCUGUAAUCGAUGCACAUUCUCAUACUUCCAUCUUUCUUCUUUACAAAUAACACCGGAGCUCCCCAGGGCGAUGAACUAGGUCUAAUGAAACCUUUGUCCAAUAACUCCUGAAGUUGCAUCAUUAGCUCCUUCAUCUCCGUCGGUGCUAAUCGAUAAGGUGCUUUUGCUAUUGGCGUGGUUCCUGGUAACAAGUCUAUUCUGAACUCCACUUGUCUAUCAGGUGGUAAUCCAGGAAGAUCCUCGGGAAAUACUUCCGGAUAAUCACACACCACUGGAAUACUCUGCAUCACCUUCUUUUCUUUCUUAGCAUCAAUCACGAAUGCUAAAUAUGAUGUACAUCCCUUGGUCAAACACUUUCUGGCUUUCAUUAGAGAAAUGAUUCCAGAAUUCACUCUGCGUUUGUCCCCAUACACCAUAAACGAAUCUUUCCCAGGCGGGUUUACUUUAACUAUCUUCUUCUUGCACAAAAUUUCGGCAUCAUUGGCGCUAAGCCAAUCCAUUCCCAAGACGAUGUCGAAACCAUUUAGUUCGAUAGGCAAUAAUUCCUCGAGAAACUUAUUCCCAUUAAGGUCGAUCAAGACGUUUUUCAUACGAUGGCUAACAGGUACAAACUUGCCACUAGCUACUUCGACUAAUAAAGCAUUAUUUAGUCUAUCAACAGGCAAAGCUAGCUUUCUACCAAACUCAUGCGAAAUAAAGGAGUAGUUGGCUCCAGAAUCAAACAAUAUAUGAGCAGGUAAUUCGUUUACGAGAAAGGUACCUGAAGCGACAUCAGCUUCAUCUUUCGCAGCCUCAAGUGUCAUCUGGAAGGCUCUCGCCUUCGGCUUUGGUGGAAUGUUGGGCCUAGCUGCCUCCUUCUUCUUCGGACAGUCUUUCAAAAUAUGCCCCUCUUCAUUACAACCAAAACACAUCCUUUUGUUGUUCGGACAUUCAUUGGCAAAAUGUCCAACCUUUCCACACUUGUAGCAGGUCACAUCCUCGCUACAUUUCCCAAAGUGCUUUUUCUUACACUUAUCACACCACUUCGCUUCGCCUCCUUUUCCUCCAAACUUUUUCGAAUCAGAUUUCGAAAAUUUGCUCUUCUUACUGGAACCAGAUGUUCCUUCAAACUUCCUUUUCUCACCAACCUCAACCUUGACGGUGGUUCUCCCCUUGAUCAUGUUCUCCACAGACUUGGCAGCCCAGAUAGCUGCCUCUAGAGUAAGUGCCUGACGUACUGGCACCUCGUACUCCCAUGGAAGUCCCUUCGCAUACCGAUCCACCUUUGUCAGCUCGUCUGGAACGAUACGCAAGGCAAACUCCAUCUUAUCGGUGAAGUUAUUGGUGUAUUCAUCAACUGACAUGCUACCCUUCGUCAAUGUCAAAAACUUAUUCUCCAACUCCAACAGAUUUUGAGCCGAGCAGAACUUGCGCUUGAACUGCACCAAGAACUCUGCCCAUGACAAUUGCAGUGGCUCAUUAGGGCUUAAGGUCUUCCCUAGAGUGUUCCACCAACGAACGGCUCCACCUCGGAAUUGUCGCACGGCAUAGAUAGUCUGCAACUUGCCUCUACAGCCACAUGUCAUAAAGGCUAACUCCAUUUCGGAGAUCCAAUCCAUAACCCCAAUCGGAUCCUCCUUUCCAUUGAAGGUCGAUGGUUUACAAGUCAAAAAGUCCUUGUACUUGCAUCCCAUUCCAUCAUUCCUUCCAUCAUGGUUAUCUUGCCUAACUAUCGGUGGGUUGGCUGGACCAACAGACCCACUGAAGUUUCCACCUUCCGAGUGCCCUUCAUUCAGUUCAGGCUCUUCCACACGAAUCGACAGUUCUUCACGAUUUUGUUGAAGCAACCGUCUAGUUUCAUCCAUCUGACGAUCCAACAUCGUCUGAAUCAUCAAUUGCACACCAGCCAUGGUUAUUGGCUCAGGUGCUGCUGCUACGACAGGUAUUGGCUCAAUCACUGGUGGUUGAUUCCUGUUUUCGUCAGCAUUUCCAACUCCACUUCUUGUUCUCACCAUUUUGAUCUACACACCGAAUAAGGUGAAAUUAGAUCCUCAAUCAUGAUAGAUAUUCAAAUCAUCCUUAUCACUCCGAAACGUUUACAUGCUAGUUCUAAUAUCGUAGACGUACGCUUAGAAUCCUACACACAUAAGGUUUCUAGAUCCGGUCGGCAACAGACCAUAGAUCCGAACAAAUAAUAUCAUAUAUGGCAACAUAUAACAUUUAGCACAUAAAGCAUUUUAGGCAACUUUCCUAAAAUAAACUAGUGCUCGUGUCUAAAACACAACAGACACACAUCUCAAAACUUCACUUAGCAUUCUAAGUUUAAGUCUAGAAAUCCUACAAAUUCCUAGUUCGCUUAAACUAAUGCUCUGAUACCAACUGUGACAUCCCCAAAAUCUCGGCCAGAAAAGACCGAUUUUCAUUUAUGCUUUUAAAUAUUUUCAGAGUAAAUCCUUUUGAUUUGAAAGAGUUGCGGAAUUUGUUCCCAAAAACAAAACAUGAUAAAACAUUGUUUACCGAAGCAUUUCAUAAAAGAAAUGUAUUUUCAUUAUAAUCAAAACUCGGGGUGUCAUGUUCCGAUACAGACCAAUAAGCAUAAACGAAUACAUUACAAGUCAUAUAACAAAUAUAAACAUAUGCAGACUUGUAAACAAAACAACUUGAUGGUUCAUCCAUCUCAUGCCCUUCCGCCACUACCUGUAAUACAAUUUAAAACUGAGUGGGUCAGGCUUGGGAGCCUGGUGAGCAUAUAGGGUUUUCAACCCACAAUAAAUAUCAUAUUUAAUUUUCACCAACCAACAAUAACCCAAUUACCCAUUCCCGUUAUUCUCACUUUAAUGUCCCUAAAACAACUAACAUAAGGGACCUAGUCUAAGAAUAUUUCAUCGGGGCGACAACACAUGCUUCGGGGGUACCUCAGCAAUAUAAGUCAAAUAAGGCAACCAUGAGGGGGAUGGAGUACAGCGAAUGAACACCCAAGUUCAUUAACACCUACAGGUGGCGAACCUGCUAAUGUUUCCACAAGACUGUCUAGAAUAGCCAGUGGUCGUCAUCUAAACUCCGCUAGAUGACUCAAUCAAACAACAACGAGGCCUCUCAUCUGUUUAUUACACACCAACUGUCUACCCAUGUUCUACCCAACAUAUUAGUAGAUAAAAAUAUACAUUUGUAUACAUAGUUUAAAGAAAACCUGUAUAGCAUGCUUUAAUCAACACAUAUAUCACAUAACAGAUGAGGCACACACACACAUAACACAUAUCUCAUAAAGAAAUAAGCAGAUCUAUAAGAUAGAAGAGAGUGAAUACUCAUUCACACAUAACACAACCAAAUAUAUACACAUAGCACGUAUUUUUAUAUAAAAUACUUCGUAUUAUUGUAUUAGAAGAAAUAACUACACACUCACUUGAUCAGAAGAUGAUCGGACAGCACUACGGCUUAUAGAAGUAGUAAUCCACAGCAGAUCUGGAAGAUCUUCUCGAAAAUCGAACUUCUCGCGGGCAGAGCUUCGACUCGGGAACCGCACUUUUCGGGAUCUUCGGGAUCUCGGGACUUGCCUCGGGGCUAGAGUAUGAUACCGGGACUUCGGGGUAGCUUCGGGGGUUUUUGCACAGAGCUUCGACACGAAAACGAGAGGGAAUUGGCAAAAAUACCCGGAACCCUCGCAUCCUAUUUAUAGGAGGCUGGAGCCUCGGAGUACGCGGGGCGUACUGCGUUACGCGGGGCGUACUGCCCAAAACGUCAUUGCUUACGUAUCCGAAGUGCUCGAGUGCGAGUGUCGACAUCCCUCGGAGUACGCGGGGCGUACUCGAGUACGCGGGGCGUACCUCGGAUCAGAUCGGUGACUCCUUCGGAUAAUGCUUCCGAAUUUUGAUUUAAAUAUAAAUACAAAAUGAUUAAUAAACUUCGGAAAUUCAUAACUUCUUCAUACGAACUCCGUUUUCGACGUUCUUUAUAUCCACGGAAAGGUGAGACCAUGCUCUACGACUUUCGUUUAGACUCCGUCGGCUAAUUUUGACUUUAUUUUUAUUAAUUAUUUUUAAUAGGCCGCGACAGAAACUUUCGUUAUAAAUUCAUAACUUCUUCGUUUGACGUCCGUUCUCGCCUAACUUUUUAUCGCUUCGAUACCAACAAUGAGAUCUUCGAUUCUCAUUUAGAUUGCUUCGGCUAACAACCGCUCGAUCUCAAUUCGAGUAUAUCAGGCUGUAUACCGCUAAGCCUGAACUUCGAUAAAUCAUAACUUCCUCAUACGAAGUCAGAUUUGGGCGUUCUAUAUAUAAUCGGAAACCUCGUUUCGACUACUACAACAUUAACCAAAGAUAUUAAGUUUAUUUCACACUUAAAUUUUGACGCUUAUUUUUAUUCUUAAUUAAUCAGACCACAUAAUUAAGCAAUUAAGCACAAAACACAUAAUACUCAAAUAAUACAUUCUUAUUAUUUCAAAACGGGUUACAAAGGUUAACCUAGACUAUUAUAUUGCUAAAUAUGGCAAGCCCGGAAACACAAGCGUUACAUCGAUGGUUUCGUUAAGGCAUCAACUAAUGGGUUUCUUUCCGUGUGCAUCUACAUUCGAGGUGAGCUUCCUUACCGGGUUUAGCGGGUCGAAGGCACCAAUACCGGCCGAUGUUUAUUUUAUGUUGAUAGAAUGCUAGUUGUCUUUGUGACUCUUGCAUGUACCUGUGUUUAUAUGUUGUUGGACUAAGGUCCGAUGUCGGGCGGAGCCCGUUGACUAUUUGUAUGCUGUGUAUAUUG
rnacentral:lncRNA from 1 species